GUCGAACGAGAGAGAGGGAGCUUGCUUCCUUGAUCGAGUGGCGAACGGCUGUGUAACGCGUGAGGAACCUGCCUCAAAGAGGGGGACAACAGUUGGAAACGACUGCUAAUACCGCAUAAGCCCACGGUGCCGCAUGGCACAGAGGGAAAAGGAGCAAUCCGCUUUGAGAUGGCCUCGCGUCCGAUUAGCUAGUUGGUGAGGUAACGGCCCACCAAGGCGACGAUCGGUAGCCGGACUGAGAGGUUGAACGGCCACAUUGGGACUGAGACACGGCCCAGACUCCUACGGGAGGCAGCAGUGGGGAAUAUUGCACAAUGGGGGAAACCCUGAUGCAGCGACGCCGCGUGGAGGAAGAAGGUCUUCGGAUUGUAAACUCCUGUUGUUGAGGAAGAUAAUGACGGUACUCAACAAGGAAGUGACGGCUAACUACGUGCCAGCAGCCGCGGUAAAACGUAGGUCACAAGCGUUGUCCGGAAUUACUGGGUGUAAAGGGAGCGCAGGCGGGCGAUCAAGUUGGAAGUGAAAUCCAUGGGCUCAACCCAUAAACUGCUUUCAAAACUGUUUUUCUUGAGUAGUGCAGAGGUAGGCGGAAUUCCCGGUGUAGCGGUGGAAUGCGUAGAUAUCGGGAGGAACACCAGUGGCGAAGGCGGCCUACUGGGCACCAACUGACGCUGAGGCUCGAAAGUGUGGGUAGCAAACAGGAUUAGAUACCCUGGUAGUCCACA
rnacentral:rRNA from 1 species